rnacentral:rRNA from 1 species
AUUGAACGCUGGCGGCAGGCCUAACACAUGCAAGUCGAACGGUAGCACAGAGAGCUUGCUCUCGGGUGACGAGUGGCGGACGGGUGAGUAACGUCUGGGAAACUGCCCGAUGGAGGGGGAUAACUACUGGAAACGGUAGCUAAUACCGCAUAACGUCGCAAGACCAAAGUGGGGGACCUUCGGGCCUCACACCAUCGGAUGUGCCCAGGUGGGAUUAGCUAGUAGGUGGGGUAAUGGCUCACCUAGGCGACGAUCCCUAGCUGGUCUGAGAGGAUGACCAGCCAGACUGGAACUGAGACACGGUCCAGAAUCCUACGGGAGGCAGCAGUGGGGAAUAUUGCACAAUGGGCGCAAGCCUGAUGCAGCCAUGCCGCAUGUAUGAAGAAGGCCUUCGGGUUGUAAAGUACUUUCAGCGGGGAGGAAGGCGGUGAAGUUAAUAACUUCACCGAUUGACGUUACCCGCAGAAGAAGCACCGGCUAACUCCGUGCCAGCCGCCGCCGUAA